AAAAACUCAGACUCAGACCAAAACUCUCUCUCUGUUCCUACCACCAAAUCUCUCUCUCUCUUUGUUCCUUUUCUUCUUCUUCACUGUCCAAAACUCUCUCUUUGUUCCAUUCGUCGUCCUCCUCUCUCAGGACGACCUUAAGGACCCACCGCCGGCCGAUUCCCUCUCCCCCAAUUCUUUCCGACGCCUUCAACUCCGAUUAGGACGAGUUCGGCGACUCCGAGUCGAAAUCCGAUGAUGAGCUCGACCGAGGAUCUGGCGCUCGAUCUUCGAGUCUGACACCACACCCGACCCGACGGCGCCCGGUGGUGAUGGACCAGUUGUUGUUGCAGAUGGAAUAGGAGGGGCUGCUAUGUAUGAAUUGGUUCGUGUUGGUGCAGGGAUGUGUGUAAAUAUGCGUUCAAGAACUCAAUUGCAAGCUCCCAAUUCUAACUAGGCACAUGUACGGUACGGUAUUUUAGAUUAUGCAUACAUGUCUGGUUGUGAGUUAAUCUAAUGGUUAUGGGCACUUGAGCAUGCAACACUAUGUAGGGCUAGAUAUUAGCUUUGAAAUAGUAUUGUUAGUACUCAUAGUGCCUGGUUGUGUCUUGCUGCAGAUGUAAAUGAGAAAAAACAAAAGGAUAUAUAGUUUGUUUGUAUGAAUUCAUACGUGUUGGGCUGUUAUUUGAUGGUAUCAUGUCCAAUUUUGGU
rnacentral:lncRNA from 1 species